GGAAUCUUCCACAAUGGACGAAAGUCUGAUGGAGCAACGCCGCGUGAGUGAAGAAGGGUUUCGGCUCGUAAAACUCUGUUGUUAAAGAAGAACAUAUCUGAGAGUUAACUGUUCAGGUAUUGACGGUAUUUAACCAGAAAGCCACGGCUAACUACGUGCCAG
rnacentral:rRNA from 1 species